UACGUAGGGUGCAAGCGUUGUCCGGAAUUAUUGGGCGUAAAGAGCUCGUAGGCGGUCUGUCGCGUCUGCUGUGAAAACCUAGGGCUUAACUCUGGGCGUGCAGUGGGUACGGGCAGGCUAGAGUGCGGUAGGGGAGACUGGAAUUCCUGGUGUAGCGGUGAAAUGCGCAGAUAUCAGGAGGAACACCGGUGGCGAAGGCGGGUCUCUGGGCCGUAACUGACGCUGGAGGAAGCGGAAAGCAUGGGAGCGAACAGG
rnacentral:rRNA from 1 species